UCUAACUAUGCAAGUUGGUUAUUGAAAUGUAAAACCUCAUUUCUGUAUAAGCAAUACUAUACACGGUAUGAACUGUGAAGUAAUGUUUUAAUGUCCAGAGCAAAGUUAAAUUGGGUGUGUACGAUAGCUAUUCUCAAAAGACAACCAUUUUGAACUUGUGGUCGAAUAUUUUGUCAUAUCCCAUCUGGCAACACCGCACCUCAUCAGCACAUAAUUCAGAAAAGGAUCAUUUUGCAGUAUUGCUGAUGACCAACAGGAAGUGACUGUCAUUAGAAAACACCAAGGAAGAGUGUGUCGCCUUGUUUUUCUUCCCCUAGCUCCCACCCCCACUUUCUCAGUACCAAAACAACCAACCUGCGGUCAAGCUGAGGGGCAGCAGGACCCUAAAGAGAAGACCCACCACCAAUGGACCGCAAGACAUCCUGGAUCCAGUUCUUGCAACAGGCCUGCCCUGCUUGUUUUGGUUCUGGUUCUGGUUCAGUCCCCCAAGAAGAGGCGGACUGUCAGAGGUCUUGGUGGCCGCCGGCCGAACAAGGAGUCCCCCUGAAGGCGACCACACACCCCGGUGUCAUCCUCCACAGACACACGCAAUGAGUCACACCGACCCAAUGUCUGACCCGCUUUUAAAGGUCCAAGUGCAUCUGUCCAUCAACAUCCAAGAACUGCACCCUGGUCAAGUCCACUUCAGCCAGACGACAUCCUUUUGCUCUUUGAACGGUUGCGGUGUUAUGGAGAAACUCACCUGCACACUACACCCCCACCCCAAUGCC